rnacentral:rRNA from 1 species
AUUGAACGCUGGCGGCAGGCCUAACACAUGCAAGUCGAACGAGUGGCGGACGGGUGAGUAAUGUCUGGGAAACUGCCUGAUCGAGGGGGAUAACUACUGGAAACGGUAGCUAAUACCGCAUACUAUCGGAUGUGCCCAUAUGGGAUUAGCUAGUAGGUGGGGUAAAGGCUCACCUAGGCGACGAUCCCUAGCUGGUCUGAGAGGAUGAUCAGUCAAACUGGGACUGAGACACGGUCCAGACUCCUACGGGAGGCAGCAGUGGGGAAUAUUGCACAAUGGGCGCAAGCCUGAUGCAGCCAUGCCGCGUGAAUGAAGAAGGCCUUCGGGUUGUAAAGUACUUUCGGCAGCGAGGCGUUAACCGCAGAAGAAGCACCGGCUAACUCCGUGCCAGCAGCCGCGGUAAUAC